rnacentral:misc_RNA from 1 species
CCGAGUUUACAACUCCCAAACCCCUGUGAACAUACCUAACGUUGCCUCGGCGGGAAAGCCCCGGGCGUUGGCGCAAGCCUCGCACCGGUAUCAGGCGCCCGCCGGAGGACCCAACUAAACUCUUGUAUUCUAAAGAAUCUUCUGAGUAACCAUAAGUUAAUAAAUUA